UGUGCCAUGCAAAUAUGUGGGGUACGGCCUCCUGAGUAUGGUAAGCCCCGCCUCCGUAGUUCAAAAGGCCGGAUUCUCAUUUGGACCCUUACAGCAGUAACUGAUUUUCGCGAGGACAUCUCUUUUCUCUCGGUUAUUUUAAAGCGGCCUUGUUUUAUUUUUCAAACAAUGGACUCAGGACUCACCGGUAAGUAAUUUUGCUUUAUAUGUUUAUUUAUCAAGUUUGAUAUACCAAGUUAUCUUCAUUUGUAAAAACAGUCUUAUUUUAUUUUAACAUUUAACAGGCUUUUAAAUGUAUAUGUAUACGAUGCAGGAAUUUUUAAAAAGCAGCCCACAUACCAUCAUUUUGACCAGAUCGACCAACUUUGUAAGUGUUUUAAGUAUAUUUGCAAGGAAUUUCCUGAAUGAUUAUAUAAAUACAUUUAUAUAUUAUAUAUGUAUAUUUUAUUCUACACAUUUUAUUCCAAAUUAGUGAAUUCUACUUUGAUAAAUGUUGAAGAGCAAAGCGACACUAGGAACAGCGAUCUACAAGUAAAUGCCCCCGCAAUAAAUGAGGGUUCUCAAGGCGUUAAUGAGGGCUGCGAACUGCAAGAUGCAGCAUUACUAGUUACACAGCCAGGGUUUGUAACACAGAAUACCUCUACAAAAUCUUCAAGACUUAGUCUUAGUCGGAAACGAAAGCAGUCCCGUUCUAUUACCCAUGAUAAAAGGGCAUGCCCUGACAAUGCACUAGUCUCUGAUGUGCAACCUCGGGAUACCACCACAGAUUUCAUUAAAACAGUUGAUUUCUAUACAGAAAACCUGUUAGGAGCUGGUGAUGUCACAAAUUCAUGGUCUGCAGCGUUGGCAAGUGUCUCAGAAGCUAACGGUGAUGCGAUAGUGCCGGUAGCUACUACCGUACUGACAUCUUCUUUGGACUCGCAGACAUCUGCGGCGGUUAAUCUGCCACGUGUGGUUGGAGCCCGUGGCGAGGAUGAAUCUUCUAUGAUUUUUGAAACAUCUCUACCUGCAAAUCAGGAACAUUUCAAUAAUGAGUUAUUGCUGGAAUUGAUAGCGCAAGUGAGAAGACUGACUGAAGACGUCGCAUCCAUAAAUUCAAGGUGUACAGCUCAAGAGGCAUUGCUGAGAAGC